rnacentral:rRNA from 2 species
AACGAACGCUGGCGGCAGGCUUAACACAUGCAAGUCGAACGCUCGUAGCAAUACGGGAGUGGCAGACGGGUGAGUAACGCGUGGGAACAUACCCUUUGGUUCGGAAUAACUGAGAGAAAUUUCAGCUAAUACCGGAUGUGCCCUUCGGGGGAAAGAUUUAUCGCCAAAGGAUUGGCCCGCGUCUGAUUAGCUAGUUGGUGAGGUAACGGCCCACCAAGGCGACGAUCAGUAGCUGGUCUGAGAGGAUGAUCAGCCACAUUGGGACUGAGACACGGCCCAAACUCCUACGGGAGGCAGCAGUGGGGAAUAUUGGACAAUGGGCGCAAGCCUGAUCCAGCCAUGCCGCGUGAGUGAUGAAGGCCCUAGGGUUGUAAAGCUCUUUCACCGGUGAAGAUAAUGACGGUAACCGGAGAAGAAGCCCCGGCUAACUUCGUG